rnacentral:lncRNA from 1 species
GGAGCACCCUGCCCACCACCCUGCUGCUGAUUGCGCUGCUGGGGCUGGCCCUGGCGCUGGGGCUCUGCUGCGCCCGCCGCACCAGGCUGCACAAGCGCCUCUGCCAGCUCAGCAAGGGGACCUCCUGCCAGUACAGGAUCUCACAGCCGGAGCCCCGGUCAGGCAGCCAGGGCCCCCCCGAGCGCCCCCGGCCCCCACAGCGGCAUCAGGCCACAGAGCUGCAGGUCAUGCACAGCGGCAAGCCCCCAGGUCCGGCCAAGCCCCCCCCCGCCUCAGCGGCCGCUGCCCUUGGACCCCCCGGGGCCUUCGCUUCCCCACAGCGAGACCCCUGGUCACCCCUAUGUCACGGUGAUUCCCUCCAGGUGAGCAUGGUGGCAGCUGGGGGGGGCAGGACCGGGCUGUGGGGUGCCAGGUUGGGG